GGGGAGGGCUAUGUCCGUGCUCACAGCCCUGGCGUGGGAGGGUGACUGGCGAGAGGACAUGUGUUCAUGGUGCCUGUGUCCUUCAUAACUUGGGUCACAGCAGUUUCCAACAAGAAAGAGAACUGAAACAACCAGGGAAUUCCCUGGCAAGGAGAAGUCCUGCCCAGUCUGCAUCUUUCAGAAGCCAGGAGGAAUGCCCCAGAAAGCCGAUUCAUUACAAUGCUGGCUAAUACCCACAGGAACACUGAACUCCACUGUGUGGGAGCUUGAGGGGCCUGUGCUGCCCAUGCCGAGUGUCCACCAUCUCACACUGCUUCUAACACCUUCAAGCCAUCUCCUGAAUCUGGAAUAGUCAUCAUGAGCUGGAGGCUUCCUCAGAAGAACCCUAAAAUCAAGGGGGAUUCUGGUGCCAAGAAAAAUAGCCCAACCCAGCUUCACAGCUGUGAGCCUCCAAUGCGCCCCAGGAAGCUGCCAUCACCAUGGGUAGCGCGACCUGGCUUGAUUUUGCCAAAACAAAGGAAAAUUCCUCCAGCAAUUUCUGUGAAUUUGUUUUGCAAAACUGAAUUGUCUGCUUUUAAUUCCCCUAUACCAAUUAAAUAAAAAUUGGAAUUUAAAAUCCAGUGAAUGACAGAAACCUCACUUUGGAGUGGAUGACAGACCCCACGCAACCUGGGGUCUGGGGUAGAGAAGUGAGAUGCUGGGAACUUCCAGGGAGUGGCGG
rnacentral:lncRNA from 1 species